rnacentral:rRNA from 1 species
GACGAACGCUGGCGGCGUGCUUAACACAUGCAAGUCGAACGGAAAGGCCCUGCUUUUGUGGGGUGCUCGAGUGGCGAACGGGUGAGUAACACGUGAGUAACCUGCCCUUGACUUUGGGAUAACUUCAGGAAACUGGGGCUAAUACCGGAUAGGAGCUCCUGCUGCAUGGUGGGGGUUGGAAAGUUUCGGCGGUUGGGGAUGGACUCGCGGCUUAUCAGCUUGUUGGUGGGGUAGUGGCUUACCAAGGCUUUGACGGGUAGCCGGCCUGAGAGGGUGACCGGAGAGAGGGGGACUGAGGUGAGGCGAAGUGGCAUGCGGGAGGGAGCAGUGGGGAAUGGGGCACAAUGGGCGGAAGGCUGAAGCAGGAACGCCGCGUGAGUGAUGAGGGCGUUCGGGUUGUAAACAGAGUUCGACGGUGUAGGAGCGGGGGUGACGGUGAUGGGUAAAGAAGCACCGGCUAACUACGUG